UCCGGUAUAGUGUAGGGGUUAACAUAACCCGCUUUCAAAAAGUCUCGUUUCUUUCUCUCUCUUGGAAAUAACUUGCCUUUUAGAGCCGGGUAGCCCCGGGUUCGAUUCCCGGUACCGGAA
rnacentral:tRNA from 1 species